rnacentral:lncRNA from 10 species
GCUGAAUUAAAGAAAGAGUGGAAUAUGAGAAGAUGGGCGUCUCAGACACCAGAGGACAGAGAUGGCUUGAAACCUUAAUUUCAGAGAACAGAAGAGCACCUUGAUUAGAGAUGAACAGAAGCCUUGUCCGGAUGAGAUGAUGGAUCUAGAACCUUGAGGGAAAAAGACCUGUCAUCACUGACUGAGGAAUCUGGAUAUGAAGAUGAGGCACUGACACAUAACAAAGCUUGAGAAUCAGGAGGCUCAUUCGCAGCACUGAGACCUGCUCAGUCAGAGUCUGAAGAAUGGAAGAAAAAAACUGAAUCCAUGGACUGAACCUGCCCAAGCUAUCAUUUUUUUUCUUUCUCUUUCCCUCUCCUGGCCAGACUCAUUGAUGCUCUUAACAUCCCGACCUCAUAUUCCCAAUGUCUUUUAGUUGGAAAAAAGUUGACAUUGGCUAGAAUAUAGGAUUUAGUUAUAAUAUACAUAAAGUUCUAAGUUUUGGAGAAAUUCUCACAAUAAUUAUUAUCUCAGUAUAUGUUGUCCAAAAAAAAAGAGGAGGGAGGGACAACACAAUGAGGUUAUUAACAAAGCAAAGGCUAUGUUUAUGUUUGUGUACAAAACAAGGAAAUCUAGCAAACUCAGCAUACAUUUUUUUGGAGGGAUGGGAUUUGGGGCUUGCUCAUUUUUGUAGCUGUUUUCUGAGGGGAAAUGGAGCAGUGGAUUAGCGGGUCAUCGUCUGAAACUUCUGGAGAUAUAGUGUGUAGUAAAAAGUUGACUAAUGCCCAUGGAAUGCCUGCAUGCCAAGCAGUCUUUAUUUCAGAACUUUACACAUAUCACAUCCUUAGUUCUCACAAGGAGAUAGGUAUUAUCAUCAGCCCCGGUUAACAGAAAAAAAAUGGAGGCAAAAAGAGGUUAAAUAACCUGCCUGUUAUGAAUUGAGUUGUGUCCCCUCAAAAUUCUCAUGUUGAACCCCUCACCUCCAACAUAUUUGGAGAUAAAGCCUUUAAGAAGGUAAUUAAUGUUGAAUGAGGCCAUAAGGGUACACACUAAUCCAAAAGGACUAAUGUCCAUAUGAGAUGAAGAGACACCAGGUGUGCAAGAGCACAGAGAAAAGACCCCAUGAAGACACAGUGAGAAGACAGCCUUCUUCAAGCCAGGAAGAGAGGCCUCACCAGAAACCAACUCUCCUGGCCCUAGAUCUUGGACUUUCGGCUCCCAGAACUAUGAAACAAUAAAUUUCUGUUAUUUCA